UUUCACCUUAGGGGGCGCUAUGGAGCCAUUUUGCAUUUUAUUAUUUGGGCGACUUCAAAAUAUCGAAUUUUUCACCAGGCCUGGUCGUCCUGCCAAAUUUCAUGAGUUUUCGCCAGUGGGAAGUGGGCCAUUUUCCCCUUCAAAGAGGAGGAAAAAUAAGAAGAAAGAAAGAAAGAAGAAAGAAAAACCCAUACAGGAACAAUAGGGCUCUCGCAGCUGCUUAGCAGCUACGCUCGGGCCCUAAAAAGGCUCAAAUUUUUGCUUUAUUAGUGACUUUAUGUCUUAAAUGGGCUCUUAAAGGGUAGAAAAAAUAUUUUCAAUGAAACAUUUGCUAGUUGUGAACAGGGCAGAAGUAAAAAAAGAGAUAUACAAAGAAAAAUCUCGAAAAAUAUCAAUCCAAUUUGAUUUUACAGCAGACAAAGUCAUUUGGGCCACUGAGGGGCGCCAAAGGGAGUUGUCUAUUAAAUCUAAUGCUACAGAAAAAGUUAAAAGGCAUCAAAGUCAAUCAUAUUACUAAACUCUCACAUAUUCAAGACUUUGAUGCCCUGCAAGAGAUAACCAGUUUUUUAUAAUGUUUGAUAAAAAAAAAUGGUCAUUUUCCUUACCCCCCAUGGCAGGAGAAAAAGUCAAGUUUUUCCUGCCCAUCGCUCAAUGGCUCAAACGCAUCGCUCUCUCUGCAAAACCGAAAGGAGGAGCAACUUGCCAUUUGGAUAUAUCCUAGCUGUGUUUGUGCCCUCACUCAUGGUCCAGACGUUUUUCAAAAAGGACAUGGAGUUUGUCUGCAGCGAGCGUUUUGGUAGAAACUGCGCCUCUCAUUCAUUAUAAUGGUAAAUGACCACAGACAAGUGCGCACACCAUCUUUGGACCUUGAGUGUGACGCGAUCGGGAGGGGGAGGCGGUCGCGCUGGGGGCGGCGCGACACGGCUCGGGCCCGCCAGUGCCCCAACGGGGCCCUAGUCUUCUUCUUCUUCUUUAGGGCCCGAGCCAGCUGCAGAGCAGCCGGGCGUAGAGCCCUAUUAUUCCUGUAGUGGUUUUUUCUUUGUUUCUUUCUUUCUUUCUUUCUUAGGGCCCGAGCCAGCUGCAGAGCAGCCGGGCGUAGAGCCCUAUUAUUCCUGUAGUGUUUUUUUCUUUGUUUGUUUCUUUCUUUCUUUCUUUAGGGCCC